GUCUUGGAUAUUUUUUUGCUAUGUAACACAUCCAAUUUUUCUAAAUGUUAUUAGCUUCAGGGUCCUGGAAAAUUGACUGAAGCUGAGCAGAGACAGGUGCAAGAAGUGAGUAUAAGCUGGGACCUUCCCCCGGUUACUGAAGACAACAGGAAAUGGCUGGCACAGUCAAUACUACAACAUGCAGUCCUUGGUCGGAGAGAAAAGCACGUGCAGCAGAUCAAGAAAGAUACGGGGGUUCUCUCAAUGAUUAAAGAACGACCAGGUCUCAUAGAAUAGCUGUUUCCAAGAACUGCUGCACAAGCUAUAGAGCCAGAGGUGAUCCUGGAGAAAAUAAUUUGGCCAGCACCAGACAGCGAUGACGAGGACAUUGACUGCAAUCUGGAGGAUGUGUGCAAAGUGACCGACUUACACUGCCCAAACACUGAU